UUUAAUUGUGAUUGGUCCAUAGGGAGACAGUUUGUAGCAAGUUCUGUAAAGUUUGCUAUCAUGGAAGAAAUAGUAUGGAAUAAUGUGGAAGAAAUAGGAGUCAGAAGAUACAGAUGCAACAACAGAGAAACUAUAAUAAAUAUCAGUAAGUAGCCCAGAAGAGUUCUGUAUAUAUUUUAAGAAAGUCUUUAAUAAAAUCUUUUUUCCUUUAGCAUAUGCACUAUAAUAACAGUUAUUUCCAUUCCUCUGCUACUCGAAGGAUAUUUCAGUUGUGAAAAAUCACAGCUUAGAAAUUAAUCUGCCCCAUAUGAGUCUAGCAGCAUAAGUCAACAGUUACUCUUUUUGGACAAGUACAAGGAAAAGGUCAUGAAAGCAUUUCAGUGCAUUAACACUGCCAGAGGAACAGAGAAUCCUUGGAAUUCAAGGCUGAAGUGGAUACAGGAAGAUACAGGAGUCCAUCACUAACCUACUGCAGUGCGUCAGAUCUGAACAAGACAUUGGAACAAGUAAAGCAUGACUAUCACUUCAGCUUCUGUUUAUCUCCUCCUCAUUGGACCUUCCUGUGGACUUACCAGAACUCUAUCAAACAGUAUCACAAUAUCUACCUUUGCAUCCGGUAAAAGUGGGGGUCACAUUAAGACUGGCUGAAAUUCCAGCUUAUGAAAUAUACUGAGGUUUCAGAGCCUGUUCCAACAUGAACAAAACCAAUAUCAUCUGUAUUACAUGCAUGAAGAAACCAAACCUAUUCCAGGAGACCAAUAGGAAUUUUUUCUGUAACCUACAGAUUAGUAGCUCACCUUGGGAAAAAAGAGAGCCAUACUCAGCUCCCCUCAGAGAAUCAGGCAUUUGAAUUUGAGCUUAGCUCCUUCCAGAAUAUUCAAACAGAUGUGUCAUUUAACCUCCCUCACAAGACUGCACUUCCCAGGAUGGAGGAUGGUCCUGCUGUAUCUUGAACAUCCCCCUGGCUGCAGUGCAUAGCAAGAACAUAGCUCAGCUGGUAAAGCCAGCUGUGAGGAGGAGAAAUAGGGGAUAUUCCUUCCUAAUCCACUGUCUUAACUUAUUUUAACUAAAGUGUUCUGGUUUUGUUCAACAGUCCACAAGUUGCUCAAUUUGGACAUAUUUUAUCAGGGAAAAACAAAAAAGUUUGCUUUUUUGCUUAUAUUGUUAUAGAAAGACUAUCAUUUUAAAUAAAAGUCC
rnacentral:lncRNA from 1 species